AGUAUACUUUUUGGGGAAUUUGAGUGAUUCACCUGACCCUUUGAACAAGGCUAUAUUGAGGUCUUCAAAGGAAUCCUAGAUUUGUCAAGCCAUAUAUGUUUCAAUUGCUGCCCAACAAAUACCAGUGUCUUAAAGUAAUUUAGAUUCAUUUUGAGGAAAUAUCUGAUGUGCAGUGCACAUUCCAAAAUGAAUUCAUCAGUUUACACCAUGAUCUACCUUCAAAUCCUGUAUAUAAUCUGACCAGGGAUACUCUAAAGUGCAAGUCACAGACAAAAAGUUAUAAGGAUAACUUCCAAAAUUUUUAAGAACUUGUUAUAACUUUAAA